rnacentral:rRNA from 1 species
CAGCAGCCGCGGUAAUGCGUAGGCGGCAAGCGUUGUCCGGAAUUAUUGGGCGUAAGGGGCUCGCAGGCGGUUUCUUAAGUCUGAUGUGAAAGCCCCCGGCUCAACCGGGGAGGGUCAUUGGAAACCGGGAAACUUGAGUGCAGAAGAGGAGAGUGGAAUUCCACGUGUAGCGGUGAAAUGCGUAGAGAUGUGGAGGAACACCAGUGGCGAAGGCGACUCUCUGGUCUGUAACUGACGCUGAGGAGCGAAAGCGUGGGGAGCGAACAGGAUUAGAUACCCCCGUAGUCCCUGUCUCUUAUAU